UACGUAGGGGGCGAGCGUUGUCCGGAUUUAUUGGGCGUAAAGAGCGUGUAGGCGGCCAGGUAGGUCUGCUGUGAAAACUCGAGGCUCAACCUCGAGACGUCGGCGGAAACCAUCUGGCUAGAGUCCGGAAGAGGAUAGUGGAAUUCCUGGUGUAGCGGUGAAAUGCGCAGAUAUCAGGAAGAACACCCGUGGCGAAGGCGGCUCUCUGGGACGGUACUGACGCUGAGACGCGAAAGCGUGGGGAGCGAACAGG
rnacentral:rRNA from 1 species